ACGUAGCGACCGAGCGAUCGUCCCGCUCGGUCGCUACGUAGCGACCGAGCGGGACGAUCGCUCGGUCGCUACGUAGC
rnacentral:pre_miRNA from 2 species